GUAAAUUAAAUACCUGACUGAAAAUAGAUAGUUCAUUCAAUAUUCAAUUCAACACAUAAGUAAAUCCACCAAGGAUAUCGCAACUCAAUAAUAUACAAAUAUUAUAACAAUACUCAAAUUCCUUUUCUAUAGUCUGUUUCUGUCAUUCAUUUCAAUCUGUAACAAUUCAAAAGAACCGUAUUCCGCAAGACGAAUUGACACAACUCUAGGCACGCCUUAAAUUAACCAUGGAAAGAAAAAUAAUACCUAUGCUUGGUCACUGUAUAAAAAGGAGUUUUUAAUUGCAAGAAAUCGGGCAGCAGACCAAGUCUGUAUCAAAAGCGUCUAGUCUCUGCUGAGACAUAAUUGAUAAACAGAAUGUUUAGGUUAGAGCCAGCAAUUUGUAUAGAGAUAUCAAAUUUAAUAGUUUAAAUGUUUAAAAGCCGGAAUGCAAUUAAUUUUAGAAGGUAAAUUCAUAGGGUGGUGGGGUAUCAAAACUCCUCAACGAAUAGUUUUCCACGAGUUAUUGGAAAAUAAUAUCUUAAAUGUACAGAAACAAAAUGUUAAGCAUCAGGAAGGGACAACACAAUCAUAAACACUUGGAGGACCAACCACAAGGCGGAAAUAUUAAGAGUUGCAAGCAUGUCUGAGAGAGAAAGGAACUUGAGGGAAUUUAUAGAAUAGAUCUGCUUCAAGGUAGAUAAAUUAUUAGUAUCGAGUAUAUAGGUAUUAAUAAAUUUCAAUUAUGUUAAUGUUAUUUUAGAAUAUUCCUGUAGAACUAGAAGAUUUAACUAGUGCUCUGGAAAAAGCAAGCUAGCGGCCUAGACAUUAGUUUGAUUAUACAGUGUUGUCAUUUUUCUCUCAAGCCUCUGUAUGAAAGGAUUCCAAUUUGAGAAAUGGGGAUUAAACAUGAUUUUACAUUUGUUGGUGAUAUUCUCUAAAUUGCCACAUAUAGGCAUAAAGAUUUGAUUGUUAUUUUUUUGGUUUUUGAUUUAGCAUCUAACCUAUUAUUCUUUGGUAGAGUAAUAUACCAGGCUGAAGCUUGCUUAGAUUUUCACCCAUGCCAAAUUGUAGAGGGUGCCACUACUCUAACUAUCGCCCUAUUUGGAGUCCGACUUAGUUCAUACAACACUUUAAGGCCUCAUCCAAUAAAGACUUUGGAAUACCAGAAUCAACAAUCUUUGUCCUAACUUUAUCCAGUAAAGUUGUAACAUACUGUAAAAGGUUUUUACCAGCUUCAUAUUUAGUUUUUAAUGUUUUUAUCAUUAGGAGAUGAGAAUAAUUAUUUAAUAUAGUUGGAAAGUACUUUUUUCAGCGUAGUUAAACGUAAGUUCGAAGUUAAAGGUCGUUGGUGGGUUUUUUGCUUUUGUAACGUGGUGAGUCUUUGGUUCUUUGAUAUGUCGUUUUCUUUAUAUGUGCCUGACCAUUUUCCCAACUGUUAAAUUUGUCUGUUUUUCUUUUUGAAUGCCGUUGAGCAGACUAUUCCCUACAGAAUCGAAUUGGGUUGCAUUUUUGUUGGGUCUUUGUCGUUUCCGGUUAUUUUAGUUAUUAAUUAGUGACUCUUCUAGGCAUAAGUUUCCUUUGUUUUACUAUUUUAAUCUGUGCAGCCUUUACUUUAAUGGCUAACACGUGGUUCUCUGUUUGUGCAAGGGGUACUGUGUCCCCUCUGCUGUUAGAGUUUAAUUGAUUGUCCUGAGAAAGCCUAAAUAAUUGGGCGAAAGCUGGACUUAACAAUAAAAAGAGCAAUGAGCAUUUACAUCUUUUAUUGCUCCCUCUAUAUUAGUCAAUAUUGGGCGAUCCCACAGUUAUUUUGUGCAACAAGUUACCAGUAGCCCCUUACUGUAUUUACUCUUUGCUUCUAGGAGUAAGAAUGGGAUAAUUCUAUCGGAGGAUUGGAAUCACAUAUGGCACUGACGUCGUGACUCCCAGAUACCUACAAGAUGGCACACAACAAUUGUGGCGCAUACUUCAACGACUGAACAACACUAACCAUAGACAACUUGAAUUUCUAGCACAAAAGGAGUAAGAAUGGGAUAAUUCUAUCGUAGGAUUGGAAUCACAUAUGGCACUGACGUCGUGCCUCCCAGAUAUCUACAAGAUGGCACACAACAACUGUGGCGCAUACCUUCACAACUGAACACAAAAGGAGUAAGAAUGGGAUAAUUCUAUCGGAGGAUUGGAAUCACAUAUGGCACUGACGUCGUGACUCCCAGAUACCUACAAGAUGGCACACAACAAUUGUGGCGCAUACUUCAACGACUGAACAACACUAACCAUAGACAACUUGAAUUUCUAGCACAAAAGGAGUAAGAAUGGGAUAAUUCUAUCGUAGGAUUGGAAUCACAUAUGGCACUGACGUCGUGCCUCCCAGAUAUCUACAAGAUGGCACACAACAACUGUGGCGCAUACCUUCACAACUGAACACAAAAGAUUUCGGCGAUCAUAUUGAGAUAGACGAGUGCAAUUUCAUUUUCUGCACGUGGGUGCUUUGGAAAUUCUGUUCCAUCCUCAUCGCGAUCUAUAUAAUACUGAGAUUCACUUUACACUAAGUCAAGCAUCAAACCCAAGCCAAAUUGUAGAUGGUUCCACGGCCCAACUGACAAUUAUUUAGUUAAUAUAUUAUGUAAUACUCAAUCGUUCUCAUUGUCAUAAUAGAAUUUGUUAGUUUAAUUGAUAUAAAUAAAUGACAACGUAAUGCCCGAAUGACGUUUUAAUUAUUUACUGCCAAACAGGAAAAAGAAAUAAUAAAAGCUAGAUUAGCGACUGUACCGUCGACAUCGGGGAUGUUAGAUUGUGUUUCGUCUUCGUGCAAAGCAUUUAUGUCUAUCUGCUGCGAAGUUUUCUUUUCAUUUUUUGAAUUUAAUCUCGAAAUCGAAUUCCUCGAGAUUAAGCCUCCAAAGAAUAAGGCGAUAAUUGGGUUCUUUUAACUUUGACAGCCACACUAGUGGGUUAUGGUCCGUUUCGAUGACAAACUUUUGACCGUAUAGAUAGGUACGACUAUAACCAGAUUAUUCAUUCCACAAGCGCUUAUUCUCCUUUUUCUAUAGAUGUAGCAUUUUUACGGAAACAUUUUUUUCAAAACAUGUCCAGACCUCGUUAAAUUUUCUAGGAAAACGAGUUAAAUGUGUAGAAAUCGCUGUUUUAAAAACAUUUUUUGCGUCAAUGAAAGCAUCAAUCUCUUGGCGACAAUUUCAUUUGCUGUCUUGCCCAACUCUACCAUACAGUCUUUGGAAAUAGUCAAAAAAUCGCUGCUCGUAUAACAAAAUCAUCCUAGCAGAAGAGUAAGUGAACACUCUGAUGAGACGUCCGUUUUAACUGGCUGAUGCGUGAACUGCCAGACUCGUAAGUCGAAACGGGCUUCGGCCAUGGCACUAGUCGACUCUCCGAUAAACUUGUUUAAGGUGCCAACAUCAACACACUCGAAACACAAUUGUUCACAUAAAACCUUUCGGACAACUCCCCUCCCAUCUUUCCAGACAACGAGAUAUAAAAUAUGGUAGCCCCUAACAAAAAAGGACCAUUGUUGACUCCAAAAACAAAUCGUCUGUAAAUUUUUUUGCGGCCCUCUGAAGAAGCGAAGGUAGUCUCUGUCAUCUUGAUGAACACAUGCCUUACAAAUGUCCGCUUUUAACCUGAUUUGGCACUGUCUGAACCUGAGUAAGAUGUCCGGAAUUAGCUCAAUUAAGUUCACCUUCUUAUCAAGGCAUUGCUUCAACGAAGGACUUUUCUUCCCUUUGGCUGAAUCGUCAAAAACGGGUCGUAUCUUGAUGAAAUCGAUUUUUUUCGAAGGUAUACGCGCUUGGCAACGUAACUCAU